rnacentral:rRNA from 1 species
AUUGAACGCUGGCGGCAGGCCUAACACAUGCAAGUCGAGCGAGCGGCGGACGGGUGAGUAAUGGAUGGGGACUGCCCGAUAGAGGGGGAUAACUACUGGAAACGGUGGCUAACACCGCAUACUAUCGGAUAACCCAUAUGGGAUUAGCUCGUAGGUGGGGUAAAGGCACACCUAGUCGAAGAUCUCGAGCUGGUCUGAGAGGGUGAUCAUCAACACUGUGCCCGAGACACGGCCCCUGCUCCUACGGAGGCAGCAGUGUUGAAUAUUGCACAAUUGGCGCAAUCCUGAUGCAGCCAUGCCGCGUGUAUGAAGAUGGCCUUAGGUUUGUAAAGUACUUUCAGCGGGGAGGCGUUACCCGCAGAAGAAGCACCGGCUAACUCCGUGCCAGCAGCCGCGGUGAUAC